UAGGAAUUUUGCGCAAUGGGAGAAAUCCUGACGCAGCAACGCCGCGUGGGGGAUGAAGGCCUUCGGGUCGUAAACCCCUUUUAGCAGGAACGAAAAAAAUGACGGUACCUGCAGAAAAAGCACCGGCUAACUCUGUGCCAGCAGCCGCGGUAAUACAGAGGGUGCAAGCGUUAUUCGGAAUUACUGGGCGUAAAGGGCGCGUAGGCGGCUUGGUAAGUUUGGUGUGAAAUCCCUGGACUCAGUCCAGGAACUGCAUUGAAUACUGCCAGGCUGGAGUGCGGGAGAGGAGAGCGGAAUUCCCGGUGUAGAGGUGAAAUUCGUAGAUAUCGGGAGGAACAACAGUGGCGAAGGCGGCUCUCUGGACUGUUACUGACGCUGAGGCGCGAAAGCGUGGGGAGCAAAC
rnacentral:rRNA from 1 species